GAGGACUCGGGUUCACGCUCUAUUUGCCGUAGCUCUGUGGCAAGGCUCCCCAAAUCGUUAUCUGCGUUGCACUCUCUCUGUUGGAGUUGGAUCUCAAGAUACUUCGCAUCGUUUUCAGAUCUAUGGAUUUAAUAUUGGGAGAAGGACCUUUCCCCAAAUGAUCAGUCUCUCAGAUUCACCCCAGAAAUCGAUUUUAGCUCCAGUAAUGGGCAUCCACUCAGCGCUCUGUCUUUCAUGGUGUUUCCUGAGCAUGCAAUCAAGGGAUUGUUGAAGAUGAACUGGCAACCUUGCAGUCCAUCGUGGUGAAGCUUAUUCUUAUUACAAGGACUUUGGGAGACAUAUUGCUAUGAACAAAGAAAAAACCAAUAGAAACAGCAGAAGCCCCAGAGUGCCAUGAGCAAAUAGACUGAAUGAAGGGAAGGAGGUGCUGGUUAGUAAAUCUCUUUUCCAUACCUUGUACUUCUAUGCUUUUACUUUAGCAUGUGGUUCACGCAUUAUAAGCUUUGGUUUUGGCUGUAGCU